UUUGCUCACUUCUGUUGCUGGAUUUCUGCUAUAUGCAAUAACUGAAAAAGGAAUAGUACAUGGUUAAAGUAUUGUAUAUGCUAGAAUAGUACCGCUGCAAAUAUAACUUUUGGUCUACAACUUUCACAGGCACAAGCUAAUGACUGAAGCCCUAUAUAACAUUAUUUUCCUGGGUACUAUUUACAUGAAUACAACCAUAUUAGAAACAUCACACUGCAGUACACAACACGCACAUGAAUUAUAGCAAAACAUCCUUGUAGACAAUAUUUUGUGUGCUUUUUCCUGAUGGGUCAAUAUCCUUAUUUGGCUUUGCAAGUACUCUAGUGUUGCAGGAGCUAUUCCCUGAUGAACAGAAUGAACAUAUGCUGCAUUGCCUUUCAUAGUGUACUGUUUGGACAUAAACACAAACACCUUGCAUGCAAGAAAAGUAGAAAAAUCAGCAAGCUAUAGUCAGACCAGUGGAUCUGUAUUUCAUAUCAUCCUCAGCAAGAAGAAUCACUUGCACAACAUUCUCAUGCAACAAAAUCUCAAAGGAACAGAAGAAUCAGCAACCUCACCUGUGGUCAACGGCACUAUGGUCAGCUGGCGAUGUCCAGCUCGUAUGAGCCUUUAAUCACCAGGUGGAAACAAAUUUCGAAGCAAGCCAGAGCCUGCAAGGAGACGGGGCAAUCUGGACGUGGAGGUGAUUCGGAGGUGCUGCCAUGCAGUGUGUGUGGACCGGGCAUGGACCAAUGGAGCUGCUGGUGUGUGAGUGUGACUCACGGGCUAGAGAAAUUGGAGACGGAGCAUCCAGAUUUCAGGAGAAAGACCAGCGUGAGAUGAAAAAUGGGAGGUUGGCA
rnacentral:lncRNA from 1 species